rnacentral:rRNA from 1 species
UACGGAGGAUGCGAGCGUUAUCCGGAUUUAUUGGGUUUAAAGGGUGCGUAGGCGGGAUGCCAAGUCAGCGGUAAAAUGCGGUGCUCAACGCCGUCGAGCCGUUGAAACUGGCGUUCUUGAGUGGGCGAGAAGUAUGCGGAAUGCGUGGUGUAGCGGUGAAAUGCAUAGAUAUCACGCAGAACUCCGAUUGCGAAGGCAGCAUACCGGCGCCCGACUGACGCUGAAGCACGAAAGCGUGGGUAUCGAACAGG